GGGAUCGGCUGACCUGUAGAGAAUGGUUUCCCCUUCGGGGGCAACGGUGACAGGUGGUGCAUGGUUGUCGUCAGCUCGUGUCGUGAGAUGUUGGGUUAAGUCCCGCAACGAGCGCAACCCUUGAUCUUAGUUGCCAUCAUUUAGUUGGGCACUCUAAGGUGACUGCCGGUGACAAACCGGAGGAAGGUGGGGAUGACGUCAAAUCAUCAUGCCCCUUAUGACCUGGGCUACACACGUGCUACAAUGGACGAUACAAACGGUUGCCAACUCGCGAGAGGGAGCUAAUCCGAUAAAGUCGUUCUCAGUUCGGAUUGUAGGCUGCAACUCGCCUACAUGAAGCCGGAAUCGCUAGUAAUCGCGGAUCAGCAUGCCGCGGUGAAUACGUUCCCGGGUCUUGUUACACACGCCA
rnacentral:rRNA from 1 species